UGGUGGAGUGAUUUGUCUGGUUAAUUCCGUUAACGAACGAGACCUUAACCAGCUAAAUAGUUUCCAAAACUUCGGUUUUCGGCUUACUUCUUAGAGGGACUUCGUGUGUUUAGCAUGAGGAAGUUUGAGGCAAUAACA
rnacentral:rRNA from 1 species